GGCGAAGUGGCCGAGCGGUCUAAGGCGUUGGACUUAAGUUCCAAUAUCGAAAGAUGCGUGGGUUCGAACCCCACCUUCGUCA
rnacentral:tRNA from 1 species